UACGGAGGGGGCUAGCGUUGUUCGGAAUUACUGGGCGUAAAGCGCACGUAGGCGGCUGUUCAAGUCAGAGGUGAAAGCCUGGAGCUCAACUCCAGAGCUGCCUUUGAAACUAGACAGCUAGAAUCAUGGAGAGGUGAGUGGAAUUCCGAGUGUAGAGGUGAAAUUCGUAGAUAUUCGGAAGAACACCAGUGGCGAAGGCGGCUCACUGGACAUGUAUUGACGCUGAGGUGCGAAAGCGUGGGGAGCAAACAGG
rnacentral:rRNA from 1 species